UACAGAGGGUGCAAGCGUUAAUCGGAAUUACUGGGCGUAAAGCGUGCGUAGACGGUUAUGUAAGUCGGGUGUGAAAGCCCCGGGCUCAACCUGGGAAUUGCAUUCGAGACUGUGUAGCUAGGGUACGGAAGAGGGAAGCGGAAUUUCAGGUGUAGCGGUGAAAUGCGUAGAUAUCUGAAGGAACACCAGUGGCGAAAGCGGCUUCCUGGUCCAGCACCGACGUUCAGGCACGAAAGCGUGGGGAGCAAACAGG
rnacentral:rRNA from 1 species